CUGAGAGUGCCACUCCCUGGGCCAAGCAUAUACAAACCAUCACAGACAGGAAGAAAAAUACAGCCUUUCCUGAAGCUGCACAAACAUGAACGUGUGCCUGUAAACCCCACAGUCUGAGAACUUCCCUAUGCUCUUCUAAAAGGAUUUAUCUUGACUCUCACACCAACCACAGGAAUCUGAAAUUUGAUCUGCUUCUGGUGGUCCAUGAAGUAAAGUCUUUCAAACCCCACUUGACAGAUGUUGCAACGAAAAAGGUAACGCCCUCCCGUCUCCAUUUCUAAUUAGCAGGCGGCUCCUCUCCGUUUGCUGGACUUCCAACUGGACACAGAUGCUGAUCAGUCAGUGUCAAAGCAGAAGAGAAAAUAGGCUGGGCUUCCACCAGCCAGAAGAAAGAGAGAGACAGAGAGAAGCAAGGGGGAUUCACCAUGAGGAAGGGGUCUCAGAGACAUUAUGGGAGGACAUACCUGAAGCAGACACACUCAGACCAACACGAAAAGGCAAGUAUCUUGGGGAUUUGGGCUGGAAGAUGGCCAGAUUAGCUUAGAGGAUUAGAAUAGAUCAGUGACUG